rnacentral:rRNA from 1 species
GACGAACCGUGCGAACGUUUGUUCGGAUUCACUGGGCUUAAAGGGCGCGUAGGCGGUCGACCAAGUCUGGGGUGAAAUCUUUCGGCUCAACCGGAAAAGUGCCCCCGAUACUGGCCGGCUAGAGGGAGAUAGGGGCAUGCGGAACUUCCGGUGGAGCGGUGAAAUGCGUAGAUAUCGGAAGGAACGCCGGUGGCGAAAGCGGCGUGCUGGAUCUCUUCUGACGCUGAGGCACGAAAGCGUGGGGAGCAAACAGGG